UUGAACGCUGGCGGAAUGCUUUACACAUGCAAGUCGAGCGGCAGCGCGGGGGCAACCCUGGCGGCGAGCGGCGGACGGGUGAGUAAUGCAUCGGAACGUACCCUGACGUGGGGGAUAACACAUCGAAAGAUGUGCUAAUACCGCAUACGUCCUGAGGGAGAAAGCGGGGGAUCGCAAGACCUCGCGCGAUUGGAGCGGCCGAUAUCGGAUUAGCUAGUUGGUGAGGUAAAGGCUCACCAAGGCGACGAUCCGUAGCGGGUCUGAGAGGACGACCCGCCACACUGGAACUGAGACACGGUCCAGACUCCUACGGGAGGCAGCAGUGGGGAAUUUUGGACAAUGGGGGAAACCCUGAUCCAGCCAUUCCGCGUGAGUGAAGAAGGCCUUCGGGUUGUAAAGCUCUUUCAGCAGGAACGAAACGGUCGGCUUUAAUAAAGUCGGCUAAUGACGGUACCUGCAGAAGAAGCACCGGCUAACUACGU
rnacentral:rRNA from 1 species